ACACACACCCAAUAUGAACUUAGGUGUUCACUAACAUAAUAUUUGUAUGAACUAGUAUGAAAGUAGUAUGACACAGAAAUGCAAUCAGGAGUAAAGUCGGGGGCUUUCUUUUCCACCCCAGUUUAACAGAUGGUAAAUCAAGCGUCCUGCCGCUAUUCCAACUUCUUCUCAGCCAAGUCCCACCACCAUCGGCCGCACCCAGAGACAAGGCCACGCAGCCCGGGUCUCCAUACGCUACUACUGUACAUGCCAGAGGAGGUCCGAGGGAGGAGCCCAGAAAGAGAAUACACAACAGGUGUAUCUGUAUCAAGCUCAGCACCUGUGAGUGAGCAGGACCAGAGAGGACCUCCAGCAGCCUUUGAGAACCCACUGAGUUAACCUGGGAGAGAUGGCAACUCAUUCAUGCCAGACCUGAGGCACAUAACUUACUGUCCUCUCCACAACAGCCAUAUGGACUUUCUAGUGUGUCUUUUUAUGCUGUACAGAGUAUAUGUUGGUAUACACAAUAUAUCACAGUACAUAUACAACAGAUGUGUAUGUUUUUAUUUUUUUCUAUAUCUGGGAAUGACUCCAGAUACAUAUCUCCCGCUGUUGUCCUGCCCCAGUUAUAACCCCUUUUUCCUCCCUCUCUUCUCUGUAGCCAUGACUGUCCAUGGGGGGACCAGACAGCGGCUUAGAUUAGAGGCAGGGCCCCUCAGAGAGAGCCGCUGGGGGGGAAGGGGAGCAGGCAGGCGUGUGUCUGGUGGAGAUGCAGCAGCAGCAGCGAGUCUGAACAACAACCACAGCAGACCUUGAAGAGGAAAUCGGCGUUUUACCACAGAUGUCCUCAACCCCCAAAGUGAGAGUCUACGUAGGCUCCAGAAACUCAGCCUGGCCAAGACCUCCAGGUUCCACUCCAAUGGGAGAGGGGCCGAAGCAGAUCUGGAGGAGAGGAUGGUCGCCAGACUGUCAGGGUCUGCCCUCCUCGCAAUAAAACACCUUUUGAGCUAAGAACCAGGCAGGGAAACACAUUGGCAAAUAUGACAGACUGCUGACAUUAACCCUUGAAGAUGGAUGGAGACUAGAGGGAGAUUCUGCAACUAUUUUGACCAUGGGACAAUAAAGGUCUUUUCACACUG